UACAGAGGUGGCAAGCGUUGUUCGGAAUUACUGGGCGUAAAGGGCUCGUAGGUGGCCAACUAAGUCGGACGUGAAAUCCCUCAGCUUAACUGGGGAACUGCGUCCGAUACUGGAUGGCUCGAGUUUGGGAGAGGGAUGCGGAAUUCCAGGUGUAGCGGUGAAAUGCGUAGAUACUGGGAGGAACACCGGUGGCGAAGGCGGCUACCUGGACCGGUUCUGACGCUGAUGCGCGAAAGCGUGGGUAGCAAACAGG
rnacentral:rRNA from 1 species